AUAGACAGGGAAUGGAAACAGCACUCUAUUGAUCUUGGCUUAUUUAUUCAUAAACUAGGAAAGCAGUGGAACAGCUAUGCUGGAAGCCUACUUUCUCUUCAUGUAACACAUUGGCCUAAGAGAUCUAUAGAGCUUUUUAAAAACAAAGAAGGCAGCAAGAUUUAAAAUAAUAAAAGCAGUUUAUUGUAAAUUAGAAGGAGCAAAUUGGAGGAGAAAUGACAAAAGAAACAGAAAAAUGUUAAAUCAGACAAAGGAAUUAAAAAAAACUCAGUCUUAUUUAGAAGAUGGUCAAACAAAUCUCUUAACUGAUGUUCGCAAUGAUGGUUUCAAGUUAUCUAAGGAAUGGCUGCUUUGAGAUUUGACUGUUAGCGUCCAGCAGCUAGCCCCCUCUUCCUUGAAAGGCUGCCCUUUAAUGAAUAUUGACUGGCACAGGGGUACCGAAGACUGCCUCCUUGCUUUUGGAUGGACUAAUCCCAUGAUGGACUAACCCCGUGAUGGACUAACCCCGUGGUGCAACUUGUGCUCCUAAGUGUCUCCAUGCAAUCAGAGUUAAGAGCGUCUCCAGCUGAGACUACACUCUCGAUCAGCAUUUUUUCUUCGCCCUUUCCUGUUUUUCUCACCUCUGUUGAUCUGAGAUCACGUUCCAAAUAAAUCACGUUUACUAAAUCGUAUUUUCUAUGUAUUUGAGUCAGUUUCC